rnacentral:rRNA from 1 species
UACAGAGGGGGCAAGCGUUGUUCGGAAUUACUGGGCGUAAAGGGCGCGUAGGCGGCCCGCUAAGUCGAACGUGAAAUCCCUGGGCUCAACCCAGGAACUGCGUCCGAUACUGGCAGGCUUGAAUCCGGGAGAGGGAUGCGGAAUUCCAGGUGUAGCGGUGAAAUGCGUAGAUAUCUGGAGGAACACCGGUGGCGAAGGCGGCAUCCUGGACCGGUAUUGACGCUGAGGCGCGAAAGCUAGGGGAGCAAACGGG